CACGGGGGGGAGCAAGCGUUGUUCGGAAUCACUGGGCGUAAAGGGCGUGCAGGCGGUUCGGUAAGUGGAAUGUGAAAUCCCUCGGCUCACCCGAGGACCUGCAUCCCAAACUGCCGAGCUUGAGUAUGGGAGAGGAUGAGGGAAUUCCUGGUGUAGCGGUGAAAUGCGUAGAUAUCAGGAGGAACACCGGUGGCGAAAGGCGCUCAUCUGGCCCAAUACUGACGCUGAGGCGCGAAAGCUAGGGGGAGCAAACGGGG
rnacentral:rRNA from 1 species